rnacentral:rRNA from 1 species
UACGGAGGAUGCAAGCGUUAUCCGGAAUGAUUGGGCGUAAAGGGUCCGCAGGUGGCAGUGUAAGUCUGCUGUCAAAGAAUGAGGCUUAACCUCAUCAAGGCAGUGGAAACUACAUAGCUAGAGUAAGGUAGGGGUAGAGGGAAUUCCUGGUGUAGCGGUGAAAUGCGUAGAGAUCAGGAAGAACACCGGUGGCGAAAGCGCUCUGCUGGACCUUAACUGACACUGAGGGACGAAAGCUAGGGGAGCGAAUGGG